rnacentral:lncRNA from 1 species
AAAAUAGCCCCUGAUAAAGAAUUUUCCAUCUAUAUUUAUCUAUUUUAUUGCAAUUUUAAAUAUUUCUAUUGUUGUAGACGCCGCCACGUUGUGAAGCAAGCAGAUUUAUGACGUUUACAUACAAGCAGGAUUGCAGAGUCGGGAGUCAGAGAUUUUUUGAUGGAGUUGGAGUCAGAUUUUUUAAACUGCCCGGAAUCGGGAAUCGGAGUCGGAUUUAUUUAAAAGGUGGAGUCAGAAUUGAUCAUUCGCUAUCCGACUUUGCAACUCUGCAUUCAAGCCAAAACAAAUAUCUGAUUUUUACUCCAUUCAGCGGUUCGCUAGAAUGACAGUG